CUAGUAACUGCGAGUGAAGCGGGAAAAGCUCAAAUUUAAAAUCUGGCAGCCUUUGGCUGUCCGAGUUGUAAUCUAGAGAAGUGCUAUCCGCGCUGGACCGUGUACAAGUCUCCUGGAAUGGAGCGUCAUAGAGGGUGAGAAUCCCGUCUCUGACACGGACUCCCAGGGCUUUUGUGAUGCGCUCUCAAAGAGUCGAGUUGUUUGGGAAUGCAGCUCUAAAUGGGUGGUAAAUUCCAUCUAAAGCUAAAUAUUGGCGAGAGACCGAUAGCGAACAAGUACCGUGAGGGAAAGAUGAAAAGAACUUUGGAAAGAGAGUUAAACAGUACGUGAAAUUGUUGAAAGGGAAACGCUUGAAGUCAGUCGCAUCGGCUGGGAAUCAACCUUGCUCUUUUGCUUGGUGUAUUUCCCAGCUGAUGGGUCAGCAUCAAUUUUGACCAAUGGAAAAAGGUCAAGGGAAUGUGGCAUCUUCGGAUGUGUUAUAGCCCUUGGCUGUAUACAUUGGUUAGGAUUGAGGAACUCAGCACGCCGCAAGGCCGGGUUUUUAACCACGUUCGUGCUUAGGAUGCUGGCAUAAUGGCUUUAAUCGACCCGUCUUGAAACACGGACCAAGGAGUCUAACAUGCCUGCGAGUAUUUGGGUGGAAAACCCAUAUGCACAAUGAAAGUGAAGAUCAGGAUCUCUGUCGUGGAGAGCACUGAUGCCCGGACCAGACCUUUUGUGACGGAUCUGCGGUAGAGCAUGCAUGUUGGGACCCGAAAGAUGGUGAACUAUGCCUGAAUNGGGUGAAGCCAGAGGAAACUCUGGUGGAGGCUCGUAGCGAUUCUGACGUGCAAAUCGAUCGUCAAAUUUGGGUAUNNGGCGAAAG
rnacentral:rRNA from 1 species